UAAAAGAUGGCCGAGUAGUAAGCGUUAGAUUGUAAAUCUAAAUACGAGAAUUUCUCUCUUUUAA
rnacentral:tRNA from 1 species